UCCAGACUCCUACGGGAGGCAGCAGUGGGGGAUAUUGCACAAUGGGGGAAACCCUGAUGCAGCAACGCCGCGUGAGUGAAGAAGUAUUUCGGUAUGUAAAGCUCUAUCAGCAGGGAAGAGAAUGACGGUACCUGACUAAGAAGCCCCGGCUAACUACGUGCCAGCAGCCGCGGUAAUACGUAGGGGGCGAGCGUUAUCCGGAUUUACUGGGUGUAAAGGGAGCGUAGACGGCUGGUCAAGUCUGAAGUGAAAGCCCGGGGCUUAACCCCGGAACGGCUUUGGAAACUGAGCAGCUAGAGUGCUGGAGAGGUAAGCGGAAUUCCUAGUGUAGCGGUGAAAUGCGUAGAUAUUAGGAGGAACACCAGUGGCGAAGGCGGCUUACUGGACAGUAACUGACGUUGAGGCUCGAAAGCGUGGGGAGCAAACAGGAUUAGAUACCCCAGUACC
rnacentral:rRNA from 1 species